AUUGAACGCUGGCGGCAGGCCUAACACAUGCAAGUCGAACGAGUGGCGGACGGGUGAGUAAUGUCUGGGAAACUGCCCGGUGGAGGGGGAUAACUACUGGAAACGGUAGCUAAUACCGCAUACCAUCAGAUGUGCCCAGAUGGGAUUAGCUUGUUGGUGGGGUAACGGCUCACCAAGGCGACGAUCCCUAGCUGGUUUGAGAGGAUGACCAGCCACACUGGAACUGAGACACGGUCCAGACUCCUACGGGAGGCAGCAGUGGGGAAUAUUGCACAAUGGGCGAAAGCCUGAUCCAGCCAUGCCGCGUGUGUGAAGAAGGUCUUCGGAUUGUAAAGUACUUUAAGCUGGGAGGCGUUACCAGCAGAAUAAGCACCGGCUAACUACGUGCCAGCAGCCGCGGUAAUAC
rnacentral:rRNA from 1 species